AAGAUCUAAGGAAUUGGUCCUGGCUUCAUCCCUGGUGUUUUGGAUGUCAAUUUACUUGAUGAAGUUAUCCAAAUUUCUAGUGAAGAAGCUAUUGAAACUGCGAAACUUCUAGCAUUGAAAGAGGGUCUGUUGGUGGGGAUAUCAUCUGGUGCUGCUGCAACUGCUGCAAUUAGGAUUACAAAGAGGCCU